UGCUUGAUAGCUCAAUGGUAGAGCAACCGGCUGUUAACCGGUUGGUUCCAGGUUCGAGUCCUGGUCAAGCAG
rnacentral:tRNA from 1 species